ensembl:lncRNA
CCUGUUGGAAAAAGCAGUUCACUAAAGCUACUUUGACACUGCGCUUCAUAAAAAAACAGCAUAUGCUGGUUAGGUAUGUUUUGGCGCUGGUUUGCUGGUUUAUGCUGGUCCUUUGCUGGUUUAUGCUGGUCCUUUGCUGGUUUAUGCUGGUCCUUUGCUGGUUUAUGCUGGUCCUUUGCUGGUUUAUGCUGGUCCUUUGCUGGUUUAUGCUGGUCCUUUGCUGGUUUAUGCUGGUCCUUUGCUGGUUUAUGCUGGUCCUUUGCUGGUUUAUGCUGGUCCUUUGCUGGUUUAUGCUGGUCCUUUGCUGGUUUAUGCUGGUCCUUUGCUGGUUUAUGCUGGUCCUUUGCUGGUUUAUGCUGGUCCUUUGCUGGUUUAUGCUGGUCCUUUGCUGGUUUAUGCUGGUCCUUUGCUGGUUUAUGCUGGUCCUUUGCUGGUUUAUGCUGGUCCUUUGCUGGUUUAUGCUGGUCCUUUGCUGGUUUAUGCUGGUCCUUUGCUGGUUUAUGCUGGUCCUUUGCUGGUUUAUGCUGGUCCUUUGCUGGUUUAUGCUGGUCCUUUGCUGGUUUAUGCUGGUCCUUUGCUGGUUUAUGCUGGUCCUUUGCUGGUUUAUGCUGGUCCUUUGCUGGUUUAUGCUGGUCCUUUGCUGGUUUAUGCCAGUCAUGUGCUGGCAAAGGACCAGCAUAAACCAGCAAAGGACCAGCAUAAACCAGCAUCCCAGCGUCAAAACAUACCUUACCAGCAUAUGCUGUUUUUUUCAGCAGGGGGAUGAAUUGCACAUAACACUGUUAUUUUUCUGUUUAUUAAUGUGAAGCUGCUUUAAAACAAUCGGUAUUGGAUAAAGCAUUAUAUAUUGUGACGACUUUGAAAGCAUCAGUCACGUUACUGAAAAAUAUAAAGUUAGCCGCAUCGCUACUUUUACAUAGCACAGGCUACUCAUCGAAACUGCCCUUUAAUAGCCUGUGUUUGCAAUCAUCAAUUUACACUGCAAGAUCAUUUUCAUUCAUUUAAUUAUUUG